CUCCAAUCGGCAAUUAGUACCAAGAGUAUGCUUAUUUAGAAAAGGCGGCAUAUCGUUGAGAAAAGUUAGUUCAGUAGCUUCAUUCAUCCGAUCCGACCCGGCUAUUAUAGUGUCAUAUUUAUGGAUGGAAUUUUAUGAUUUUUGGGGGCUAACUAAUCAAAGAAGCAGAUUCAUUUGAAGAUGUCAACGGUUGAUCCCCAAAUGUUGAGAGGCAAAGACCCUACCGAUUUCUCUCGCACUUUCAAAUACUUACUCGCUACGCAGUUCUUGUCAAGGGGAAUCCCAUUUGUAUUCAACUCAUGGAUCGUGAGGCAUCUUACAGAAGAGGACUACGCGCUUUAUGCGGUACAAUUCCAUCUUUUUGUAACCUGUGUCUUGUUUCUCAGUCGGGAGGGAUUCCGGCGAGCAUGCUUGCGGGCAGACAUCAAAAGCGAUGGCGCUUCAGUGGAAGAAAACACAGUGAAGCUAAUGAGAGUUGCUUGGUUGACUCUCCCACUUGGAGUAUUUAUAACAGUAGCGGCAUCACUUUUUGUCUUUUGGUGGCAAGAAUUAAGUUAUUCUAAUCCAUACGCGCAGGCUAUUUUGAUUAAUGGUUGUGCUUGUGUAUUAGAGCUAUUGGCAGAGCCAUUGUAUAUCCUUUCUCAGAACUUGCUUCUGCUUAAAUUGCGGUUGGUGGUUGAAACUGCAGCUACGCUUGCGCGUUGCUUAACAAUGUAUAUCCUGAUUGUCAAUCAAAUUGACACGGAGAAAGUGUUCGUAUUUGCGUUGUCACAAGCUGCAUAUGGAGCUUGCUUGUUCCUCGGCUAUUGGGGCUAUUAUCUUCUUUUUCGUGCAUUUAGAAGUUCUGAUCUUUUCCCCUUUAGAGCAGGAACUUUGAAGGAUUAUGAUAGUCAGCUGUCAAAGAUGUGUUUUCUGUUCACCCUUCAAUCCUUUCGGAAGUUGAUCCUUCAGGAAGGAGAAAAGGUGGUCCUUGUGUGGUUGGAUACACCAUAUAACCAAGCUGUGUAUGGGCUUGUAGACAAACUAGGAAGCUUAGUGGUGAGGCUAGUGUUUCUUCCUUUUGAAGAAAGUUCAUAUGCUACCUUUGCAAGGUCCGCGUCAGGACAAUAUCCAGAUAGAAGUAGGAAAUUGGGAAAUCGCCUUGCAGAGGCCCUGAAGUUAGUUAUGUUAAUUGCUGUGAAUCAUGUAGGACUUGUAUUUAUGGCAUUUGGACCAAGUUACUCUUAUUCUCUCAUCAGAUUGUUGUAUGGUCGGAAAUGGAGUGAUGGAGAAGCAUCAACAGCCCUCCAGUAUUAUUGCCUUUAUAUAAUCUUCUUGGCUAUGAAUGGAACGUCUGAAGCAUUUCUACACGCAGUUGCAACCGAGAACCAACUUAAACGCUCAAACGAUUCGUUGCUUGUUUUUUCGUUGAUUUAUAUAGUCCUGAAUGUUCUACUGAUUCGUUCAGCUGGUGCAGUUGGCUUAAUAUUGGCAAAUUCCAUAAAUAUGAUUUUGAGGAUUUUAUACUCUCUGGUAUUCAUAAAGCGUUAUUUCCAGGAUUCUUCAUUUUCCUUUUCCAGCUGCUUGCCUUCAGGAUGGACAGUUCUGUUGUUUUCAAGUGUAACUACUCUCAUUUCUGAGAAGAUAUUUUUGGAUCGUGAAAAUUUCUGGCCAACAUUUGCAAUUCAUUUUUCUAUUGGGUUGGCUUGCUUCUGCGUGUCAUCUUUUGUCAUCUACCGCCGCGAGAGGCCUUUCAUCAACAGAAUUAUCCGUUUUCGUGAUCACUCAGACUGAAGAAUUGACAUUUUCCCAACAAAUAUUAUGCGAAAACUUGACGAUGAGGGUGUUCAAGCCAAUUCCAGAACAUGUUUAUUAACAAACACCUCUGAAAUUGGUUUUGAGUUUGCAAAGAGAAGCAAAUAAUGUAUUAUAAUAGAUAUGAGCAAGAGGGCUGUUCGUUCUAUUUACAAAUUUUGGAGGCAUAUUACCGUACAGAUUUUUUUGUUUUUUUUUUUAAUUUUUGGGGGUCCAGUGACAUUGAAAUCAGUUAGAUUCUAAGAACCCGAUGCAGGAUAGGAAUAGCUUUCUAGUCAAUCAAUACGAGUUAUUUUACUAGGUUCAAAGCGGUACCGUAUUGGCAGUGGUGCUCCAAACCUAUUUGAAACAUAGAAGGAGAUAUAUGCGACUCACCUCAGGGCUGGAAUAGCUUUACCCAAAUUUGAGCCCUGUCAAGUGGAUGGAACCCGAUCCACCACAAGCACAAACCAAUCAAUAGAGAUUUCAGAUGCCUCAUGCCUGAAACCAUAGACAUUCAGCCCAAUUAACGUAACGUAAUCUAAAGUGAGUACAAAAUUAACAUGAAAUUUUGUUUUAUAUUAAAAACAAUCGAAAUCCAGAUUAACAAUAAUCUAUAUUACCUAAAAAUCGCAUGGGGAUGUCCUCCAUAUAACAAUAAAGUGAAAUUGUUGCUUCAAGUUUCGACCUUCAAAUUUGGAUGUUG